CGGUUGAUCCUGCCGGACCUGACUGCUAUCGGAUUGAUACUAAGCCAUGCGAGUCAUUGUAGUAAUACAAGGCAGACGGCUCAGUAACGCGUAGUCAACCUACCCUAUGGACGGGGAUAACCUCGGGAAACUGAGAAUAAUACCCGAUAGAACAUUAUGCCUGGAAUGGUUUAUGUUUCAAAUAAUUUAUUGCCGUAGGAUGGGACUGCGGCCUAUCAGUUUGUUGGUGAGGUAAUGGCCCACCAAGACUAUUACAGGUACGGGCUCUGAGAGGAGUAGCCCGGAGAUGGGUACUGAGACACGGACCCAGGCCCUAUGGGGCGCAGCAGGCGAGAAAACUUUGCAAUGUGCGAAAGCACGACAAGGUUAAUCCGAGUGGUUUCUGCUAAAGGAAUCUUUUGUCAGUCCUAGAAACACUGGUGAAUAAGGGGUGGGCAAGUUCUGGUGUCAGCCGCCGCGGUAAAACCAGCACCUCAAGUGGUCAGGAUGAUUAUUGGGCCUAAAGCAUCCGUAGCCUGCUUUGUAAGUUUUCGGUUAAAUCCAUACGCUCAACGUAUGGGCUGCCGGGAAUACUGCAAAGCUAGGGAGUGGGAGAGGUAGACGGUACUCGGUAGGAAGGGGUAAAAUCCUUUGAUCUAUUGAUGACCACCUGUGGCGAAGGCGGUCUACCAGAACACGUCCGACGGUGAGGGANGAAANCUGGGGGAGCAAACCGGAUUAGAUACCCGGGUAGUCCCAGCUGUAAACUAUGCAAACUCAGUGAUGCAUUGGCUUGAUGCCAAUGCAGUGCUGCAGGGAAGCCGUUAAGUUU
rnacentral:rRNA from 1 species